rnacentral:tRNA from 1 species
UGGGGUGUAGUUCAGUGGUAGAGUGUUUGCCUAGCAUGUGCAAGGUCCUGGGUUCAAUCCCCAGCACACCAA